AGGUGCAACGAUACUAGUACUAAUACAACAGAUCCCACAAGAAAUUCGAAGUUAAAGGCUGCUUGGGUAAGAUAGUACUAGGAUGAGUGAUCUUCUGAGAAGUCCUUGUGCUAAACAUA
rnacentral:rRNA from 1 species